GCCUUGCGGAAGGAUCAUUACCUAGAGUUGUAGGCUUUGCCUACCAUCUCUUACCCAUGUCUUUUGAGUACCUUCGUUUCCUCGGCGGGUCCGCCCGCCGAUUGGACAAACUUAAACCCUUUGUAAUUGAAAUCAGCGUCUGAAAAAACAUAAUAGUUACAACUUUCAACAACGGAUCUCUUGGUUCUGGCAUCGAUGAAGAACGCAGCGAAAUGCGAUAAGUAGUGUGAAUUGCAGAAUUCAGUGAAUCAUCGAAUCUUUGAACGCACAUUGCGCCCCUUGGUAUUCCAUGGGGCAUGCCUGUUCGAGCGUCAUUUGUACCUUCAAGCUCUGCUUGGUGUUGGGUGUUUGUCUCGCCUUUGCGUGUAGACUCGCCUUAAAACAAUUGGCAGCCGGCGUAUUGAUUUCGGAGCGCAGUACAUCUCGCGCUUUGCACUCAUAACGACGACGUCCAAAAAGUACUUUUUACACUCUGACCUCGGAUCAGGCACGUAGGGA
rnacentral:rRNA from 1 species